AAUAACGAAGUAUAUGCCAAGUAAUAUUCUUUAUUCACCAAUUACCAAUUAUUAACAAACCCUUAAACCUCCUACCGAAAUAUCAGCCAUCCUAACAAAUUUACUGCCAAAUAACGAUAUUCACUUAGUUUAUUAACAUAACUAAGAUAUUCUAAAGCGAUUUACAUUGUUAUUAUGUGGUAGAAAACUAAACUAAAAAUAAUCCGAAUAUUCUUUCAAAACCUAUCUAUUGUAAGCUAUAUAUAACUACCGUAGUC
rnacentral:lncRNA from 1 species